rnacentral:rRNA from 1 species
UACGUAGGGCGCGAGCGUUGUCCGGAAUUAUUGGGCGUAAAGAGCUCGUAGGCGGCUUGUCGCGUCGAAUGUGAAAUCUCAGGGCUCAACUCUGACAUUGCAUUCGAUACGGGCAGGCUCGAGUUCGGUAGGGGAGACUGGAAUUCCUGGUGUAGCAGUGAAAUGCGUAGAUAUCAGGAGGAACACCGAUGGCGAAGGCAGGUCUCUGGGCCGAUACUGACGCUGAGGAGCGAAAGCGUGGGGAGGCGAACAG